UGACUAUUUAUUGCAAGGUCAGAUUUACAGAUUGUUAUAAAUUGUUGAGAAAUUUUUGUGAUUAGAAUAUGAAGGAAAAAGCUUUGUUGGUAAAAGUGACAUGUUAAGGGGCUAUGAAGUAAAUAUGCUGCAGUUAAUUGUGCUAAGUUAAAAUACAGUUUAGUUAUUUGCUUUAAAAUAAACUCUUCUUUUUUUCUUUAAAGUAUACUAUCUCAAAACUCAUUAUGUUGUCAGAGCCCUAGAGCUGGCUAGUGUAACACUGACUAUGAAUAGGUGGGCCCACCACUUGAGUUGAGGUGAUUUCAUGGUGUCUUUCCAGGCUCUUGAUAGGGUGUCACUGCAUGCAAGCCAUGAAUCUGUUUUGAGAAUCCUCUCCAUUUUCCCAAAUAAAAACCUAUCCCAACAGUGACUAUAUCACUCAGCAUUGAAUCUAAAUAUAAAAGUGGUGCUUUCAGUGUUUUUGGCAGAUAGUGUUCCAUAAGCUUUCCAUCAGAAGGGAUUUUAGACACCUUAGAGGUCCGUGCUACAUCUUCACAGUUCCUCUGAAUAACCUUAGGUGGUAGUGUUACUUGCCUUUGACACCGCUGCAUAUGUUUUAAUGACUAGAUCCAAACUGUGUUGUUCUUAAAUCAAAAAUUGGAUAAUUUUUAAUAUUUAUGUAUUAAUCACAUAGUAUGCUCUCUGAAGUUCUCUUAAGCCUUCAGUUUAUACUCUUAAUUUUCUUUCUGAGCUGGGGAACUGACUUUGCACUUUGGUUACACAGAACAUUGGUUUCCAAUUUAGUUUAACUGAAAUUUGCUGCUGAUAUGUUGAGUUUGUUCUUUAAAAAAUAUCUCAUAUAUCUCGUCUUUCCUCCUUAGAAGAACAGACCUAACUAGCGAAUGUAUGAAUGAAAAUGCAUCUAUUUCAGAGCCGACAUGAAGAGUUUAGUUUUUUUACUUUAUAAACUGUGAAUAUGAGUAUGCCAGCUGC
rnacentral:lncRNA from 1 species